UACGAAGGGGUGCGAGCGUUAUCGCGAAUUACUGGGCGUAAAGCGCACGUAGGCGGACUCUUAAGUCGGUGGUGAAAUCCUGGAGCUCAACUCCAGAACUGCCUUCGAUACUGAGAGUCUCGAGUCCGGGAGAGGCGAGUGGAACUGCGAGUGUAGAGGUGAAAUUCGUAGAUAUUCGCAAGAACACCAGUGGCGAAGGCGGCUCACUGGUCCGGUACUGACGCUGAUGUGCGAAAGCGUGGGGAGCAAACAGG
rnacentral:rRNA from 1 species